GGUGAACGCUAGCGACAGGCCUAACACAUGCAAGUCGAGGGGCAGCAUAAAGGUAGCAAUACUUUGGUGGCGACCGGCGCACGGGUGAGUAACACGUAUGCAACCUACCUGUAAGAGGGGAAUAACCCGGAGAAAUUCGGACUAACACCGCAUAAUACCUCGAAGCUGCAUGGCUUUGAGGUUAAAUAUUUAUAGCUUACAGAUGGGCAUGCGUAACAUUAGAUAGUUGGUGAGGUAACGGCUCACCAAGUCAACGAUGUUUAGGGGUUCUGAGAGGAAGGUCCUCCACACUGGUACUGAGACACGGACCAGACUCCUACGGGAGGCAGCAGUGAGGAAUAUUGGUCAAUGGGCGAGAGCCUGAACCAGCCAAGUCGCGUGAAGGAAGAAGGUUCUAUGGAUUGUAAACUUCUUUUGUAGGGGAAUAAAAAAGCUUACGUGUAGGCUAUUGUAUGUACUUUACGAAUAAGGAUCGGCUAACUCCGUGCCAGCCGCCGCUGUAAGAC
rnacentral:rRNA from 1 species